GGGUUGUGAGGUUAAGCGACUAAGCGUACACGGUGGAUGCCCUGGCAGUCAGAGGCGAUGAAGGACGUGCUAAUCUGCGAUAAGCGUCGGUGAGGUGAUAUGAACCGUUAUAACCGGCGAUUUCCGAAUGGGGAAACCCAGUGUGUUUCGACACACUAUCAUUAACUGAAUCCAUAGGUUAAUGAGGCGAACCGGGGGAACUGAAACAUCUAAGUACCCCGAGGAAAAGAAAUCAACCGAGAUUCCCCCAGUAGCGGCGAGCGAACGGGGAGCAGCCCAGAGCCUGAAUCAGUGUGUGUGUUAGUGGAAGCGUCUGGAAAGGCGUGCGAUACAGGGUGACAGCCCCGUACACAAAAAUGCACAUACUGUGAGCUCGAUGAGUAGGGCGGGACACGUGGUAUCCUGUCUGAAUAUGGGGGGACCAUCCUCCAAGGCUAAAUACUCCUGACUGACCGAUAGUGAACCAGUACCGUGAGGGAAAGGCGAAAAGAACCCCGGCGAGGGGAGUGAAAAAGAACCUGAAACCGUGUACGUACAAGCAGUGGGAGCCUCUUAAUGGGGUGACUGCGUACCUUUUGUAUAAUGGGUCAGCGACUUAUAUUCUGUAGCAAGGUUAACCGAAUAGGGGAGCCGAAGGGAAACCGAGUCUUAACUGGGCGUUAAGUUGCAGGGUAUAGACCCGAAACCCGGUGAUCUAGCCAUGGGCAGGUUGAAGGUUGGGUAACACUAACUGGAGGACCGAACCGACUAAUGUUGAAAAAUUAGCGGAUGACUUGUGGCUGGGGGUGAAAGGCCAAUCAAACCGGGAGAUAGCUGGUUCUCCCCGAAAGCUAUUUAGGUAGCGCCUCGUGAAUUCAUCUCCGGGGGUAGAGCACUGUUUCGGCAAGGGGGUCAUCCCGACUUACCAACCCGAUGCAAACUGCGAAUACCGGAGAAUGUUAUCACGGGAGACACACGGCGGGUGCUAACGUCCGUCGUGAAGAGGGAAACAACCCAGACCGCCAGCUAAGGUCCCAAAGUCAUGGUUAAGUGGGAAACGAUGUGGGAAGGCCCAGACAGCCAGGAUGUUGGCUUAGAAGCAGCCAUCAUUUAAAGAAAGCGUAAUAGCUCACUGGUCGAGUCGGCCUGCGCGGAAGAUGUAACGGGGCUAAACCAUGCACCGAAGCUGCGGCAGCGACACUAUGUGUUGUUGGGUAGGGGAGCGUUCUGUAAGCCUGUGAAGGUGUACUGUGAGGUAUGCUGGAGGUAUCAGAAGUGCGAAUGCUGACAUAAGUAACGAUAAAGCGGGUGAAAAGCCCGCUCGCCGGAAGACCAAGGGUUCCUGUCCAACGUUAAUCGGGGCAGGGUGAGUCGACCCCUAAGGCGAGGCCGAAAGGCGUAGUCGAUGGGAAACAGGUUAAUAUUCCUGUACUUGGUGUUACUGCGAAGGGGGGACGGAGAAGGCUAUGUUGGCCGGGCGACGGUUGUCCCGGUUUAAGCGUGUAGGCUGGUUUUCCAGGCAAAUCCGGAAAAUCAAGGCUGAGGCGUGAUGACGAGGCACUACGGUGCUGAAGCAACAAAUGCCCUGCUUCCAGGAAAAGCCUCUAAGCAUCAGGUAACAUCAAAUCGUACCCCAAACCGACACAGGUGGUCAGGUAGAGAAUACCAAGGCGCUUGAGAGAACUCGGGUGAAGGAACUAGGCAAAAUGGUGCCGUAACUUCGGGAGAAGGCACGCUGAUAUGUAGGUGAAGUCCCUCGCGGAUGGAGCUGAAAUCAGUCGAAGAUACCAGCUGGCUGCAACUGUUUAUUAAAAACACAGCACUGUGCAAACACGAAAGUGGACGUAUACGGUGUGACGCCUGCCCGGUGCCGGAAGGUUAAUUGAUGGGGUUAGCGGUAACGCGAAGCUCUUGAUCGAAGCCCCGGUAAACGGCGGCCGUAACUAUAACGGUCCUAAGGUAGCGAAAUUCCUUGUCGGGUAAGUUCCGACCUGCACGAAUGGCGUAAUGAUGGCCAGGCUGUCUCCACCCGAGACUCAGUGAAAUUGAACUCGCUGUGAAGAUGCAGUGUACCCGCGGCAAGACGGAAAGACCCCGUGAACCUUUACUAUAGCUUGACACUGAACAUUGAGCCUUGAUGUGUAGGAUAGGUGGGAGGCUUUGAAGUGUGGACGCCAGUCUGCAUGGAGCCGGCCUUGAAAUACCACCCUUUAAUGUUUGAUGUUCUAACGUUGGCCCCUGAUCGGGGUUGCGGACAGUGUCUGGUGGGUAGUUUGACUGGGGCGGUCUCCUCCUAAAGAGUAACGGAGGAGCACGAAGGUUGGCUAAUCCUGGUCGGACAUCAGGAGGUUAGUGCAAUGGCAUAAGCCAGCUUGACUGCGAGCGUGACGGCGCGAGCAGGUGCGAAAGCAGGUCAUAGUGAUCCGGUGGUUCUGAAUGGAAGGGCCAUCGCUCAACGGAUAAAAGGUACUCCGGGGAUAACAGGCUGAUACCGCCCAAGAGUUCAUAUCGACGGCGGUGUUUGGCACCUCGAUGUCGGCUCAUCACAUCCUGGGGCUGAAGUAGGUCCCAAGGGUAUGGCUGUUCGCCAUUUAAAGUGGUACGCGAGCUGGGUUUAGAACGUCGUGAGACAGUUCGGUCCCUAUCUGCCGUGGGCGCUGGAGAACUGAGGGGGGCUGCUCCUAGUACGAGAGGACCGGAGUGGACGCAUCACUGGUGUUCGGGUUGUCAUGCCAAUGGCACUGCCCGGUAGCUAAAUGCGGAAGAGAUAAGUGCUGAAAGCAUCUAAGCACGAAACUUGCCCCGAGAUGAGUUCUCCCUGACUCUUUAAGGGUCCUGAAGGAACGUUGAAGACGACGACGUUGAUAGGCCGGGUGUGUAAGCGCAGCGAUGCGUUGAGCUAACCGGUACUAAUGAACCGUGAGGCUUAACCUUACAACGCCGAAG
rnacentral:rRNA from 1 species